rnacentral:rRNA from 1 species
GAUGAACGCUGGCGGCGUGCCUAAUACAUGCAAGUCGAGCGAACAGACGAGGAGCUUGCUCCUUCUACAUUAGCGGCGGACGGGUGAGUAACACGUAGGUAACCUACCUAUAAGACUGGGAUAACUUCGGGAAACCGUAGCUAAUACCGGAUAAUAUUUCUUACCGCAUGGUUAUAUAGUGAAAGAUGGCUUUGCUUUACCUUCUAGAUGGACCUGCUCCUUAUUAGCUAGUUGGUACGUUAACGACUUACAAAGGCAACGAUACUUAUCCGACCUGAGAGGGUGAUCGGCAAAACUGGAACUGAGACACGGCCCAGACUCUUACGGGAGGAAGCAGAAGGGAAUCUUCCGCAAUGGGCGAAAGCCUAACGGAGAAACGCCGCGUGAGGGAGGAAGGUCUUCGGAUCGUAAAACUUUGUUAUUAGGGAAGAACAAACGUGGAAGUAACUGUGCACGUCUUGACGGUACCUAAUCAGAAAGCCACGGCUAACUACGUG